UGUGCCUACGGGAGGCAGCAGUGAGGAAUAUUGGUCAAUGGGCGAGAGCCUGAACCAGCCAAGUCGCGUGAGGGAGUACUGCCCUAUGGGUUGUAAACUUCUUUUAUAAAGGAAUAAAGUGAGGCACGUGUGCCUUUUUGUAUGUACUUUAUGAAUAAGGAUCGGCUAACUCCGUGCCAGCAGCCGCGGUAAUACGGAGGAUCCGAGCGUUAUCCGGACUUAUUGGGUUUAAAGGGAGCGUAGAUGGGUUGUUAAGUCAGUUGUGAAAGUUUGCGGCUCAACCGUAAAAUUGCAAUUGAUACUGG
rnacentral:rRNA from 1 species